rnacentral:rRNA from 1 species
AUUGAACGCUGGCGGCAUGCCUUACACAUGCGAGACGAACGGCAGCACGGGUGCUUGCCCCUGGUGGCGAGUGGCGAACGGGUGAGUAAUACAUCGGAACAUGUCCUGUAGUGGGGGAUAGCCCGGCGAAAGCCGGAUUAAUACCGCAUACGAUCUACGGAUGAAAGCGGGGGACCUUCGGGCCUCGCGCUAUAGGGUUGGCCGAUGGCUGAUUAGCUAGUUGGUGGGGUAAAGGCCUACCAAGGCGACGAUCAGUAGCUGGUCUGAGAGGACGACCAGCCACACUGGGACUGAGACACGGCCCAGACUCCUACGGGAGGCAGCAGUGGGGAAUUUUGGACAAUGGGCGAAAGCCUGAUCCAGCAAUGCCGCGUGUGUGAAGAAGGCCUUCGGGUUGUAAAGCACUUUUGUCCGGAAAGAAAUCCUUGGCCCUAAUACGGUCGGGGGAUGACGGUACCGGAAGAAUAAGCACCGGCUAACUACGUG